CACUAAGCUGGGAAGCUGUUCGAGGGGGUUCUUGCUUGCCUUUGGCCUGCUCUUCAGGGCUUAAAGUUCUUCCCACUGCUCAGCGUGGAUGCCCUAGAGAGCGGUAGACUGGACAGGGUCCAGUUCUUCCAGAGCAAAAGCUGUAUCUGUCUCACGAAGCCCAUGCUAAUGACCACACGAAGACCAGAUUGGUCAGAGCUGAGGCCCCUCAGACAGCAAAGGACAUAAACGCCGUUAAGAGCGCCUCUGGCUCCGGACGCUGUGUCCUUCUCCUGGUGAUUAAAGGCUACUUUUCCCCUUCAAAGCAUAAUCCCUUUUAAUUACACAUAAGCCCUUAGUUGGGGAGAGGAGGCCGACACUGUGUUGGCUCCCUUUUAUGGAGAGAAAGAGAACCCUAAAGACACAAGUGGCUGGGCACCAGGGAAAUUGAGGUGGGGGAUGCAAUGGGAAACCAAGACCCUCAGGCACUCUCCUCCAUGAGAGGGGUUCCUGAGGGGGAUGUCUUUAGGUAUCUUUGACCUUAAGUUUGGAACAAAAUCUCUUUGCAUAAAUAUAGGCUGGGCAUUUGUCCUCGGCAAGAGCCUGCCAUGAGCCGGCAGUCAGGGUUUGACUGGCCCUUUAAGUCCAAUCGACUCACUCGGCAGAUCUGAAGUGAUCCCUCCCUCUUUUAGUCUUUUAUCUUGCUCCGUAAUGACUGAAGUCAUUAUGGUCAGCUAGUUGGGUUAUCUCUGAGCUUAGCAGAGGGUAAUGAUGUUUAUCUCUUGUGCUGAAAUUGAUCGACUAGUAGUGGCUGCUUGGUGCUGUGAUGGAAAAGGCACUGGAACACUCCAGGCCCAGCAGGACAGAGCCGUGACUGACUUGCAAUGUCUGACUGGGGUGCGGGUAUGAGGAGAGGCAGCAGGUGGGCCCAUUACUGUCAUUCCAGCCCUGCAAUGGGGUGGUGCUGGGUUGACUCAUCACCAGGUGGGGGAUCUGUGAUCCCAAGGGACACCCCAAACAGAAGCCUCCCUGGCACUUCGCAGUGGAACUUUUUGUCUCUGCCUCCUCAAAUCUCAGAAUGUGUUCUCUUUGAAAGACUCUAGACCCUUGAGACCUGGAUGGGGCGGAGGGAGAACCACAGAGAGGAAUGGAUGCUGACUUCAUAGAGUUUGCGGUCUGGUUGUAAACACGGGACUUGAACUCGAAUAACUCAAGGAGUGUGAUGAGGGCCCAUAGGCUGUGCAUGGUGGAGCUUCCAAGAAGAGAGAGAUAGUUUCUGCUUAUGAUGGCAAAAAGGCUCCUUGGAGGUGAUGGCAUUUAAGACAAGCUUGCAGAAUUACAAAAUAAUAUUUUAUAAUGAGGAACGUGAAGCUUAGUGAGAUUAAGUACUUUGCUCACGGUCCCACAUGGCAACGGUGGGUACUUGAACAAGUGAGUCAUUUAAACUCUGCAAAGACAGGGAGGAAUAGCUUAUCUUGCCCAGGAAAACCACAAGUGAAACAUGGCUGGAGUGAAGGCUAUGAGGCUAUGAAUGGAGGAUGCUGGAAAAGGAGACAGGAACCAGACUGAAAAAUUGAUGAUGAUGAUGAUGAUGAUGAUGAUGAUGAUGAUGAUGACUGAUUCAACUGAGAUUUACUGAGCACCUGUGAAGUGACUGGAGUGGCCCACAAGUGCAGGCUACCCCCAAGCAAGCUCUGGCAGAAUCAUUAAGACCUUGUUACAUGCUAAAGGAUAUGGGUUUUAUCAUGCUGAAGAUGAUGAAAGAUUUUAAUCCAGUGGCUGCCAAGAGUAGUCAGUUCACCUCGGCAGCAAUGUGGGGGUGGUUUGGGGGGAGCCAGAGAGCCUGAACCAUGCAGUGACAGCCAUGAUGGAGAGAAGGGGAGGGACUGGAGGGAUAGGAAGGAAUGAGACACAGCAGUGCCUGAUGAGUUACUGGAAGAGGGUGGUGAGGAAGAGGCAGAAGUCAGCUAGAUGGAGUUUGGGGCUUGACUGGCUGGCUAGUGAGACGGUGGUGCUCAUAACUGAGGAGGGAAUGCCAGAGGAAGGCCAGUGGGGAGUAGGAGGCAGUUGGGGGGAACAGGGGUUUGCAUUUGAUAUACUGAAGCUGAAGUUCUAUGACAUCUGACCACACGUAUUCAGCAGGCAGUUGAAUACUUGGGUCUGGAGUCAAGAAUAAGCUUGUGAGAUGGAGACAUAGAUUUGUGAGUGGUCAACAUAUAGGUGGAAGAUUAAGUCCCGGGAGUGAUUAAACAGGUGACCCAGGAAAGAGAAGCUUGGAGAGUAUAUGAGGUUGCUGAAGGGGAGCCACAGCUGGUGAAGGAAUAUGCCUCCUUCCAAUUCCCAAAGACAUCAGCUAUAUAAGUAAUGUUCUGUCAUAGUUUCAAAAUGGUCCAUUCUUCCUUGAGCUAGAAAGUUAAACUAUGAGCACUUUGUUAAUAUUCAAUUGAUGAUGCUCUAAUAGUAUUAUUCGCAUCUAACCAGUUUCCUUGCCUGAACAAAUCUGUUUGUUGAGAUUGACA
rnacentral:lncRNA from 1 species